rnacentral:rRNA from 1 species
UACGUAGGGGGCUAGCGUUGUCCGGAAUCAUUGGGCGUAAAGAGCGUGUAGGCGGCCCGGUAAGUCCGCUGUAAAAGUCAAAGGCUCAACGUUUGAAUGUCAGUGGAUACUGUCGGGCUAGAGUCCGGAAGAGGCGAGUGGAACUCCUGGUGUAGCGGUGGAAUGCGCAGAUAUCAGGAAGAACACCAACGGCGAAGGCAGCUCGCUAGGACGGUACUGACGCUGAGACGCGAAAGCGUGGGGAGCGAACAGG